ensembl:snRNA U6 U6 spliceosomal RNA
GUGCUCGCUUCGGCAGCACAUAUACUGAAAUUGGAACAGAUACAGAGAAGAUUAGCAUGGCCCCUGCGCAAGGAUGAUACGCAAAUUCGUGAAGCGUUCCAUAUUUAA